rnacentral:SRP_RNA from 1 species
UUAUGUUUUGUGGGCAAUGUUUGGCUUCCAAAUUGUGUCAGGACCGGAAGGUAGCAGCACUAAGGUUGCCCAGGCAUGUGCCUUUUAUUAGACAUUUACA